GACAGAGGGUGCAAACGUUGUUCGGAAUUACUGGGCGUAAAGCGUGUGUAGGCGGCCAAGUAAGUCGGAUGUGAAAGCCCUGGGCUCAACCCAGGAAGUGCACUCGAUACUACUUGGCUCGAGUAUCGGAGAGGUUGGUGGAAUUCUCGGUGUAGAGGUGAAAUGCGUAGAUACCAGGAGGAACACCGGUGGCGAAGGCGGCUUCCUGGACGGAUUAUUGACGCUGAGGCACGAAAGCGUGGGGAGCAAACGGG
rnacentral:rRNA from 1 species